rnacentral:rRNA from 1 species
AUUCCAGCUCCAAUAGCGUAUAUUUAAGUUGCUGCAGUUAAAAAGCUCGUAGUUGGAUUUCGGGUGGGAAUGGCCGGUCCGCCGUUUCGGUGUGCACUUGCUACGCCCACCUUGCUGCCGGGGACGUGCUCUUGAGUUCACGCUCGGGACACGGAGUCGGCGAGGUUACUUUGAGUAAAUUAGAGUGUUCAAAGCAGGCCUACGCUCUGAAUACAUUAGCAUGGAAUAACACGAUAGGACUCUGGCCUAUCUUGUUGGUCUGUAGGACCGGAGUAAUGAUUAAGAGGGACAGUCGGGGGCAUUCGUAUUUCAUUGUCAGAGGUGAAAUUCUUGGAUUUAUGAAAGACGAACUACUGCGAAAGCAUUUGCCAAGGAUGUUUUCAUUA